rnacentral:lncRNA from 1 species
AUGUUGUCUCUGUUGUCUUUCUUAAAGGUUCAGAAAGAAAAGGAGUUCAUCAGCAUGUCUUUCAGAAGAGUAACAGGGAAAUGCAAUAGAAAUACAGAUGAUUUCAUCUUAUGUUCAAAGUUACCACACCAUAAGAUGGUUAUGCAGGUCUACAACUCGCUGAAUCAGUAUGAUGAACUGAACAGACACUUAUCCAUCUUACAGACUGUGAUGACGCAACCAGUGGAAGCCAGGUGCUCUAGGAUUCCUUUAAGGAAGAGCAGCAACUCAGUGUAAAUUCUUAACAGAAGGCACUUGCCAAAGGGAAUCAGGACUCAUUUCCCUCUUUCUUCAUCCUUGCCUCAGGGUACAUCUAAAUACAGCAGAUACCAGUAUUUCUUGCAAGAGAUCUACAUGGAUGUAACUCAGACGCUGCACUUCUAGCGUGUUGUUUUCCCCAUGGUCUUCAUGUGUUUCUUUGUAGAGAAAGAUUAAAUUAAAGGUAUUGUCUGAUAAUGAGUAUUGGGGAAAAAAAAAUCUUUGCCAAAAUUUUUUCUUUUUUCAUUUGGAUGUAAAUCCAAAAAUGUUGGACACAGAAUUUCUUAAUUUUCUUUUUAAUCACUUUUACCCCAGCUGGUGCUGGAGAAGGGUAAUGCAGCUCCAACAUGCACACUUGCCAACACCAAGACCUGGUUUCUUCCAGCUUCUACCCCAAACCCAGUCUUUUUUCUUAAAUGGGAAAAAAGGGGUUUGGACUAGGUAAUCUGUAUCUUAAAGAGUGCCCUAACAAGCUGCUUGGAGAGCUGUUGCUGCUGCUGUUGUGCAGCUCCAAGUCUGUUUGAGAACAGCAAGAGCAGAAGAACUAAAGUGCUAUCUCCUCCUUUGCGGCAUGUGAAGACAAAGCCUUCUACUAGAGGCUGCAAGAAGGGAGUGUCCCAAAGAGCAGGAAGCUGUGCCUGGACCGUGCUUCCUUACUGCUAAAUUAUUAGGAAAACAGAAAUACUGUCAUUCUUUUGUAACUAUCUUCUUUAUGUGCUGUAUCAGAACUAUUCAGUAUAUUAAGGUCUCUGUGCUCAAAAGCGUUUUGUCAAAGAUUUUUCUGGCAAAACUGCUUGGACGUACUCAUAUAAAAUUUACCACUCUAAAUUGCAGUGUUUCAAUGAAUAUAUGGUUCACAGCAAAUAUCAUUUCCCCAGCUUCAUCAGUUACAGUUGGUAUUCGAUGUUAGCUCUUCAGAACAUGAAUUCAGAUACCUUUGGGUAAACAUCUCUUUCUGGAAAAUUCUGUCCUUAUAGAGUGAUAUAAAGAUCAUUAAGUAGCUGAAAAACACAUGGGGAACAGACAUACCCUCCCUCUAGCUAUCAUAUAUGAUGGACUUCUUUAUGCUGCACAUUUAUAUGUUAUUUAAACUGUUCAGCAGAGAAUAUAAAUCUUAACACUGGAGUAGGAAGACACUGGGAAGUUUGUGAUACAUCCAUGACAGGCACAGGGGAAUCAAAACCAACCUUUCUUCUGCCAAAAAAAAAAAAAAAAGAACUGAAAAAAUCCACAGUAGUACGCUAUACAUUUAAACGUCAAGCAAUAAAUGCAGAACUGCCAUGAAGAAAAUACA